rnacentral:rRNA from 1 species
UACGAAGGGGGCUAGCGUUGUUCGGAUUUACUGGGCGUAAAGCGCACGUAGGCGGAUCUUUAAGUCAGAGGUGAAAUCCCGGAGCUCAACUUCGGAACUGCCUUUGAUACUGGGGAUCUCGAGUUCGGGAGAGGUGAGUGGAACUGCGAGUGUAGAGGUGAAAUUCGUAGAUAUUCGCAAGAACACCAGUGGCGAAGGCGGCUCACUGGCCCGAUACUGACGCUGAGGUGCGAAAGCGUGGGGAGCAAACAGGG